rnacentral:rRNA from 1 species
GACGAACGCUGGCGGUGCGCCUAAUACAUGCAAGUCGAACGGUGAACGGGGCUUCGGCCCCCGGAUCAGUGGCGAACGGGUGCGUAACACGUGGGCAACCUGCCCCUCACUCUGGGAUAACCCCGGGAAACCGGAGCUAAUACCGGAUACUCCGACUGGACCGCAUGGUCCGGCCGGGAAAGGUCCGCUGGUGAGGGAUGGGCCCGCGGCCUAUCAGCUCGUUGGUGGGGUAACGGCCUACCAAGGCGACGACGGGUAGCUGGUCUGAGAGGACGGCCAGCCACACUGGGACUGAGAUACGGCCCAGACUCCUACGGGAGGCAGCAGUAGGGAAUCUUGCGCAAUGGGCGAAAGCCUGACGCAGCGACACCGCGUGAGGGAUGAAGGCCUUCGGGUUGUAAACCUCUUUCGGCAGGGACGAAGCGAUCGUGACGGUACCUGCAGAAGAAGCUCCGGCUAACUACGUGCCAGCCGCCGCUGUAAUAC